UGUACAAGGCUGGCAGCGCAUUGCUCUAUAAUCUGACCCUGGAGCUUUUAUGUCGUUUUGUUACCAGCUGCAGUCACCUGUUCGGUUACCACCCCAUGACGGGGCACAUUAUAAUACUGCAGUAUUGAUGCUGUCCAGGUUUGGUCACCUCCCUGUGGAUAAAGACCCGAGUAACCUUGCCUGCUCACCCUGCCUUGAGCAGCAGUUGGAUCCGGGGACAUUCCAAGCUGCCUUCCACCCUGAGUCUUCUCUGUGACCCCUUUCAGGAAGAAAAAACAUCAUGGCAGUAGAUGUUUUAACUAUGGGUGGCUUGGUUUGUUAGAAAUAUCUGAAGUAAACUACUGCUAAGGAACAAAACGAGGAGAAAAGAAGAAUCUCCCCGAACUGCUGUUAGUGGUGAGAAAAAUCACAGGCUGAAUCUUUAGCCUGAAGGCAUGGCCAGGAGGCCUUAGAAAGCUGCCCAAUAUAGUGUACAUUUCAGACGUAUUACAGCAAUUUCCAAGUGUUCCCGUUGCUGCAGUAAGAUUUGGAAAGAUGUAGCUCUCGGGUCCACACCCUCGUCAUUUAAAUAAACAUGCCUGCCGCUUUGGGUGGUUGGCAAUUGAACAAACAGUUGCUUUUUGAACAGCGUGAAUGAAUUUCCUAUGGUGGCAUUUCUGCAGGGCUAAGUUUAUUUAGUUGUUGGCUUAUUUGGUGACCUGAAACACGAAACCUUUGCUUAAGUCCUUAAUCACCCAGAUUGGACUCCCAGCCCUCCCUCCUUUCCCAGAGGCAGUAUGC